AUGUUUGCCCUUCGCCGCCCCUCCGCCUACUCCACCAACGCGGCCGCCACCGCCUACGCCGUCAGCGACACCUCCGUCUUCCUCGACCGCACCAGGGUGGAGUAUGUUUCCAACAAGGUAAUGGAGAUGGCUGCCCAGAACAAGCAGAUAGCGAGCGCGAUCGGCGGGCCGAUGACGCCAGGGUUCUGGCACAACAUUUCCAUUGCCUGGAAGUGGAACCUCGCGAGGCAUUACCUCUCCGGCACUCUCCAGGUAUCCGGGCCCCAAGGAGACGGCCUUCUUACCUUCGAGGCGGUUCGCUCUAGAGAUAAAUCCUGGUUCCGGUUUCUAAGAUACAGCGACUGGGAGAUACCCAUAAUGGAUUCCAUCCUUGAUGUUCGUACUGAAGAUGGGAAGCACCAAAGAAUAAGCGUAAGGAUUCCAGACAACAUGACUGCUCCACCACCUCAAGAGAAGACACGUUAUUUCGUCAUUACUCAGAACAUGAUCGCUAUCAAGAAGUGA
rnacentral:rRNA from 1 species